GCCGCGUGCGGGAUGAAGGCCUUCGGGCUGUAAACCGCUUUCAGCAGGAACGAAAAUGACGGUACCUGCAGAAGAAGGAGCGGCCAACUACGUGCCAGCAGCCGCGGUGACACGUAGGCUCCAAGCGUUGUCCGGAUUUAUUGGGCGUAAAGAGCUCGUAGGCGGUUUAGUAAGUCGGGUGUUAAAACUCUGGGCUCAACCCGGAGAGGCCAUCCGAUACUGCUGUGACUUGAGUUCAGGAGGGGAGCGGGGAAUUCCUAGUGUAGCGGUGAAAUGCGCAGAUAUUAGGAGGAACACCGGUGGCGAAGGCGCCGCUCUGGACUGAAACUGACGCUGAGGAGCGAAAGCAUGGGUAGCAAACAGGAUUAGAUACCCUGGUAGUCCAUGCCGUAAACGGUGGGCACUAGGUGUGGGUUCCAACUAACGGGAUCCGCGCCGUCGCUAACG
rnacentral:rRNA from 1 species